rnacentral:rRNA from 1 species
UUUUUUAGUGUAAAAGUGAAAUUUUCUACUUAAGUAUUAUGAAGGGUGUUAAUUAUAUUAAUGAUAUAAAAUUAUAUUUAAAACUUAAAAAGUUUGGCGGUCUUACAUAUCCAGUUAGGGGAGUUUGUUAAUUGAUUUGAUAAUCCACAUUUUAAACUUACUUUUUUUUGUAUAUAUAUAUAUAUAUAUAUGUAUGUAUGUAUGUAUCAGUUUAUAUAUUGCUGUCGUCAGUUUAUAUUUUGAGAGUUAAAGGACUAUGUAAGAUUUUAUUUUUUAUGUCAAGUCAUAAUGUAGCUUAUAAAAAAGGUUUAAUGGACUACUAUAAUUAAUGUUAUUUAUAUAUCCAGAUAGUAGAAAUUAUAUUUUAUUAGAAAGGUGGACUUAAUAGUAAAAUUAUAAUUAGUAUGUAUUUUUGAAUAUGGUUUUGUAAGGUG